AAACAUGUUCUUAAUUUAUGUAAGGCAUUGAUUAAUGGUCUUAGAUUAUUUGGAUAAACUAUUGCAGUUCAACUGUGCAACUAAUGUAUCGUAUAAAGUGUCACAUUAAACAAGAUGAAAGAUCAUUAAACUGAUUAAGAACUGACCAUCAAAUCUUAGAUGGAAUUGAUUACGCCACAUCACUCCCCGCUAAACAAAAUUCGUUUUCACUCGAAUUAAAAAAAAUCAUACCAAAAAUAUUAUAUAAGUAAAAAAUAAGGGGAGGCAAUGUGAACAUUAAAAAAUAAACUUUUUCUUUGACUAAAACUACUUAAAAAAAUCUAAACUAAUAAUAAUGAAAAAAAAUAAUGAUAAUUGCUAUACCAUGUAAUUUAUCAAUUUACGUCGUGAAUAGUUGUGGAAAACUUGCAAAAAGAUUACUCUUAAAAUCUAAAUUAACAAUUAUCCUUUCAACUUCAAACUCUUGAUAUUUAUAACUACAAAAGAGGCACUAAACAAAAAUCAUAAAAAUAUAUAACACAAGUUUGACAAUUAUUAAUCUAUUCAAAUACAUUAUGGUAAGGUCUAAUCGCGAAUUUUGACCGUUAAUCCAAGCGUAAACAAAAUGAUAAAAUAAUUAAAAGCAUCAAUUAAAAUCAACUAAUCAUUAUCUCUGGGCAAUCCAAUUCAGAAAAUCAGCAUCUCAUUAGCUGCAAUUUUCACUUCUAUGUGACCGUAUCACCAUAGAACUACCAACACUGUAAAUCAUCUUCACAUGGACACUCCCAUGAACCUCCAACUAGUAUAAGCAACCCUUCUCGGUUAACUUAACUACACCCAAUACGCCCACUCUCGUAAUAACAAGAGAUUAAAAACUAGCUUAAUCAAACAUGUGUAAUACAAAAAAAAAAUGCAAAAAAAAAUAUACAAUAAAAAAAAAUAAACCUAGGCAUAAAACAUUCUGAAUGGAUAAAAACAUUUAUGAAAACUUAAAGUUAUUUACAAACAUGAAAAUAUUGUCCACAUGACUUCUUCGGUUUGAACGUGCGGAGCCACUUCUUCGAAUCUUUCAUCAGGAACUUGUCAUUUAUAACGGUUCUUUGCCGGUUUCGGAUCGACGGAUACGCCAGUCCACUCUGUUAUUUACAUUGUACAUAUAUACAUUGUUACCAACACAAAAGUUUCGAUAUACAAGUUACUGCUAGUUUUUUUUAACAUCUCAGAAUCAUCUCAGGUUUCUAUUCAUCAACAAUUCUCACAGGCGUCCUUCUAAUGUUCUUCAAAGUUCGAGGAUAAUGCGUUUCCAUAAAACCAAGGAAACAAAAUGACUGACACAAAAGUUUACAAAUAUUUACAGCAAGUCACUUACAUUAAUAUGUAUACAAAGUCAUCCUAACUCAAUUCUCCGUGGCAUACAUUUCUCACUUCAGUUAUCCUAUAGUUUCUCUUGAACGGAAGCCCAAAUUGCUUCUGUUUUCGGCACACGCCAUAACACAUGAUAACUUUGUAAUUCGUCCAGAUUUCAGACACAUCAUAACUCCGGUUACUGACAUAUUGACCACGGGUACCUCCACCAGAUAUAACGGGGCUUUCUUGUGUGUGUGUUAGGUUUGUUUUGGAACUACAAGUCAUUAUUUCGGAUCUACGUAUCCGGGAUCGUAACUCCAUCUUGCCCGUUAAUAUAGGGAACUAGCUAUUGUA
rnacentral:lncRNA from 1 species